rnacentral:ncRNA from 1 species
GCAUUUUCGAGCCAAAAGUGUGAAACGCCUACGCGGGGAAAUCAGUCCACUGGACUGAUUUCUGAUCCCGCUUCGAUACGUAGGAUAAUGCGAUAAAACAAAUAGUUAGAGCGGCUCCAACGAUUCCGUUUUAACCGGAACCGCUCUGGAAUUUCUAAAAUGAAAAGCCCCGCAUUCCCCCGAAGUUGGUCGUCCAACUUUCGGGGGCAGUUCAAUGGGCGGGG